UUGGAGGGCAAGUCUGGUGCCAGCAGCCGCGGUAAUUCCAGCUCCAAUAGCGUAUAUUAAAGUUGUUGCAGUUAAAAAGCUCGUAGUUGAAUUUCGGGAUCAAUUUGUCGGUCGUGCCUCGGUACGUACUGGCAUUAUUGGUUUCUACCUUCUGAAGAACCUUGAUGUCAUUAAUUUGGUGUCUUGGGGAAUCAGGACUGUUACUUUGAAAAAAUUAGAGUGUUUAAAACAGGCAUACGCUUGAAUACAUUAGCAUGGAAUAAUGAAAUAGGACGUUUGAUUCUAUUUUGUUGGUUUCUAGGAUCGACGUAAUGAUUAAUAGGGAUAGUUGGGGGCAUUAGUAUUCAAUUGUCAGAGGUGAAAUUCUUGGAUUUAUUGAAGACUAACUACUGCGAAAGCAUUUGCCAAGGAUGUUUUCAUUAAUCAAGAACGAAAGUUAGGGGAUCGAAGACGAUCAGAUACCGUCGUAGUCUUAACCAUAAACUAUGCCGACUAGGGAUCGGAUGAUGUUAUUUUUAAUGACUCAUUCGGCGCCUUACGGGAAAC
rnacentral:rRNA from 1 species